CUCGGUGCGGCCCCUCAGCCCGGUGUCGGCAAGGCGCGGGGCUCAGGGCGGGAGCCGCCAUUUCCGCGGUGACUGCGGUCAGGCCGGGGCCUUGUUCCGGAGAGAUUAAAACCCGGGUAGCAAAGGAGUGGUUAGUACUGCGGCUGUAGACAUAAUAAUGUUGCCGAGGUCAUGUGAAUGUCAUGGCCCCCUGUCCUUUGCCCAUCCAGUUCCCUCAACCGUUGUUCCGUGCUCUCUGUACACCUCACCGGGUUUUACAAAACUAAACCCAUUCUUCUAAUCUGUAUUACCAUCUCUUUUUUUUUCUGGAGGAGAACCACGUGUGUGGGCCCUCACGUGUGACCUGUGAACCCUUCCCCAUAGCUACAGCCCUGAACGUUUUUAGGAGCAAAAGGAGGCGUGGGUCCGUUCUGGAGACGGGCAGACCAAAGGCUAAGUCUUGAAAACAUGAUUCCUGCAACUGUUCACACUGUCCUGAGUGCUCUAUAUUUAUGCUGCCACAGAAAGAACUGGUUACACUCGGAGGAGAAACACAAGAAACACUAAGGACUGAAAUGCGCUUGCAGCAAAAGUAUCCUCAUCAUGAAUAGGUACACAACUAUCAGACAGCUUGGUGAUGGGACCUACGGCUCUGUCCUCCUAGGGAGAAGCAUUGAAUCUGGAGAACUAAUAGCCAUUAAAAAAAUGAAGAGAAAGUUUUAUUCCUGGGAGGAAUGCAUGAACCUUCGAGAGGUUAAGUCUUUGAAGAAAUUAAACCAUGCCAAUGUAGUAAAGCUGAAAGAAGUUAUCAGGGAAAAUGAUCAUCUGUAUUUUGUGUUUGAAUACAUGAAGGAAAAUCUUUAUCAGUUAAUGAAAGAAAGAAACAAACUGUUUCCUGAGUCUACAGUUAGGAAUAUUAUGUAUCAGAUUCUGCAAGGGCUUGCAUUUAUCCAUAAGCAUGGGUUCUUUCACAGAGACUUGAAACCUGAAAACCUCCUUUGCAUGGGACCAGAACUUGUGAAAAUAGCAGACUUUGGCUUAGCCCGAGAAAUCCGAUCUAGACCUCCUUACACUGAUUAUGUAUCCACAAGAUGGUACAGGGCUCCUGAAGUCCUUCUGAGAUCCACCAGCUAUAGUUCUCCAAUAGAUAUUUGGGCUGUUGGUUGUAUAAUGGCAGAAGUUUACACACUGAGGCCUCUCUUCCCAGGCGCCAGUGAAAUUGAUACUAUAUUCAAAAUUUGCCAAGUCUUGGGGACGCCAAAGAAGAACGACUGGCCUGAAGGCUACCAACUUUCAGCCUCCAUGAACUUUCGCUGGCCUCAGUGUGUACCUAACAACCUAAAAACCCUCAUACCUAAUGCUAGCAGUGAAGCGGUGCAGCUCAUGAGAGACAUGCUGCAGUGGGACCCCAAAAAGCGGCCAACAGCUAGUCAGGCACUUCGAUAUCCCUACUUCCAGGUUGGGCAUGCCCUGGGCGUUCAGGAGCUGGGGAAGCAAAAGGAACUGCAUAAUAAAUCGUCUCUGCAUAUUAAGCCUGUCCCUCCAGCACAACCGCCUCCGAAACCUCACACCCGCAUUUCGUCAAGGCCUUUUCAACAAAGCCAGUCUUCUCAGCACUUGGUGUACCCGUAUAAGACAGACAACUCUGGGGCUGAGCAUAGUAACUACUUACAGGAGGAAAAGUCUAACCAGGUUCUUCUGCCUGCAAUUCACAAUAAGGUUCCUCAGCAGAAAACAUCUACUGGGACUGAGCAUAUAAAUGGUGAACUUAAACAAAAAACUAGGCGAAGAUGGGGACAUCUUGCUAGAACAGUGAAGAGUUCUGAAGACUGGGAUGACUUGGAAGACCUUGAUUUCAGCUCUUCUGUCACGAGGAUGGACUUGAAAAACAAGAAAAGGCAGGGUGAUGAAAGUCUUUGUAGAUUUGAAAGCAUUUUGGACCUGAAGCCUUCGGAUGCUGUAGGCUCUGGCAGCAGUGCACCUUCCCAUGCAACCUUUCCACGGCAGGACACUCCCACAUUGCGAGUUUCUGCAGCAAAGCAACACUACUUGAGACAUUCUAGGUAUCUGCCUGGAAUAAGCACAAGGAAUAGCAUAGUCUCCACUUCCAACAAAGAGUCUGUUCCGUCUAAUCCCUGGCCCAGUUCUGGUUUGCCUGGAAAAGCUUCCGGUUUGGGAGGAAGUAUUAACAGGAUGAAUUCAGGUUUUUGGGGCAUUUGGUAUUUCAGGGCCCAUAGGAUCAAGCGGUCUAGCUAGUGGUUAUAUCCCUUCAUUUCUGAAGAAGGAAGUAGGCUCUGCUGGGCAGAGGGUUCAGUUAGCACCAGUUGUGGAUCCAUCUUCUAAUUAUGCUUCUCUGAAGUCAGUAAGACCCUAUCUUGGACAGCCAUCGUUCAGUUCACCUACAAAAAGCACACCAAGGUUAAUGCCUCUCCCACCACCAGCUCAGCCGAUCCAUGGGCGUGUUGACUGGUCUGCAAAGUAUGGUGCUCACCGGUGACGUGUGGAAAUACUCUCUGAACCAGUGCGUGUUUCCCAUGAAAUGGUGGCUCACAUGAGACAAUUUCAUACUGCUUUAUAUACCUGUAAAUUUAAAAGAAACAGAUCUUCUAUGAACGAGACAUUUUGAAGGCAUUUUUUACUUUCAUUUGUAUUACUUUGAAUGCAAUCCUGUACCUUUUUGUAUAAAAUUGUUUUGUUAUAUAAUUGGGUCCAGUUAUUUUCAUAAAUCGGAUACUUUUUGUAUAUAUGGCUUUUAGGGGGUUUGGCAUUUUUAUACGAUAAAUUUUUAUAACAAACUUUUGUAAAAUUUAACUUUUCCUUUAUUAGAUUCAACUUUUUAUAAAAAGUGGAUAAAAAAAAGCAAAGUGGUGCAAUAUUGCAGUGGAAGAGAAAUACUGAGGAAGGGGCAUUCAUUAGACAUUUUCUGAAGUUUAUGUGCUAAAUGAGGCUGUAUAAUUUCAGUGAUGCCAUGUCUUGAUGCCACGCUUCUGUUGUCCUAUACUCAUUUGCUUUGUAAUGACAUCAAAGGAAUGAGUGACUAACAGUCUAAACUCUCCUUUGCAGUCGCUGAGAGACUGCUGAAAGUCAGUGGGAGGCUUUUUUUUUUUAAUUUAUUUUUGCCUUUAAAAGGUUUUUGUUGGACUGCUGUCCAGCUUUCCAGCUUUUUUUUUUUUUUCUUUUCCUUCUACCAAAUUUGGGGAAUCUUCUUGUUUGAUGAAGGGUGAAUACCCUUCUGUAGAUCUGUUUUCUGACACAGCGCUCUUUUGUCCUGCUUCAAAGUUGCUUCUUGGCAUUAUUCAGUAUGAAACAGAAUGUGGACCUACCUCCAUUAAAUUCAUUUAAAUGUUCUAAUGAUUUCUAAGGAGAAAAAUCAGAUUCGGUUUCUUCUUUACUUCUUGUUGUUGGGAAUAUAAGAUCUGAAGACAUAUUUAAGGCAGUACUAACAUUAUAAAGCUGGUUUCAGAGUAACAAAGUAUUAGUGACACGCCAGCAGCAGAGUUUAAGGAAACAGUAUCUAUGCAGCUGACUUCUUAAUUUUCACAACUGUUUUAAAUCACUUCUGGAAAAAAAAAUCCAGAGGAAAUGAGUCAGUUUAAGCUUACUUCAGUUCUUUGUCACUUACUUCAUUACAUCUUCACUUACAAUGUGAAGAAUAUGUCAGCUUCUGUAAAUAAGGCCCCCAGGCUCUACUGGAUAAAAUGGGACCUUACCUGGUCCUGCUAAAAAAUGUUCUAAAAUUGUGGCUGGUUUCACAGAAACUGAUACAGGUCUUUGAAGAGCAGUUUAACUCAGUUUGUAAGAGAAAAUGAGUUAUCAGGUUAUAGAGAAAAGAAAAUAGCCCCACAGUCUGGUUUAAUUCUGUACUGGAAAGGAGUGCCAGAGUCCAGCCAUCAGCAAAAGAUUCAUUUAGAUCACAGUCAGCAUUUGGCUGUUCCUGCACCUCCUUCCACAGAAGGAAGAUAAAACAGUACAGUGCUGUGGGAGAACAUAUUUUAUAGCUGCGCUUUGGAACAGCACCACCAAAGCUGAAGUGUGCUGUGAAAACGCAUCUUCCUGCAGAAGUGUACAGAAAUACUCACCUUUCUGAGCUCAUUUGAUUAAUAGAUCAGACAAAUCGUAUAUUUAUGAGACUUAAAUCCAGUCUGAAGGGAUCAGAGCAGUUCUCAGUAUCUGGCCAUUUCGAAGGAGCUGAAUCGCUAGUGUGUCAGUGAGAUCCUCUCUGUGGGGUCUGCUGGCACCCGCAAGGGGCAGCCACUGUGGACUGGAGACUGACAACGCGUGCUGGCCUCUUCAGUACUUCCCGUGGAGAAUGCGUGGGACGUUGAGGAAACUGUACCCUAGAGUAGGCUGCUGGCUCAGUGCUACCGGGGGAGCCGUGAGGAGCACUGCUCAGUGUUUGCUUUUAUGGACUCGGUCCACUGUGAGACAGUACAAGACAAAAAGGGAGCAAAAGGGUCUAUGCAUUAAAAAAAAGUAUGCGUGUAAGACUUACACGUGCCAAGGACAUGUUCUGUGUCCACCUACUCUGUUUUUUGUUCAUAGCAAGUACUAACUCCAAACCAUAUCUAACUGCUUCCAAAGCAGUAAUGCCAAUGCCUAGCAGUAAAAUAAAGCAGCCAUUCGAUUUCUAAAGCACACGCUGAUGGUGUCUUUGGCUAAGUGGAAAGGGAAAUAUGUAUAUUUGUGUUAGAACUGGAAAGACAGUUGUUUCUCUUGGUGGAAAUAAAUAUCUGUAUUUAUGUCUAGAUAUCAUUUAAUUUAUUUUAUCAGUGAAUAAUUGGUCUCAAGAGGGAACACCCUGAACCUCUCCUAAGUAUCCCUAGACCUAAGUAGGCAAUUUAACUAGUCUGUGCCAUACGCUUAAUUCCUACCAGUGGAAGCAGGAGACAAACAAGUCACGACAACGGGCUGCUGAGGCUUGGAUUCAUCCUACCUAACUGCAGGCACCUAAGUGUGAGCUCCUUUGUUGCAAGCCAACUCUUUAAACCGGUGGUGAGUGAGAAUCAUCUCAAGAGAAAUUCAGCUCACCCGAGAAUUUAGUAGCCCUCUGGAGAUGCCUGGGUCUCUCCACUAAGGAUGGGGACUACUCCAUGUGUUUAAACUAACACAGAAUGAAUCUGAACCUGGCCUGUAAUCUCUGAGCCUUUAUCAAUCAGCCCUGCAGUGGUUUUCUUGACUAUGACAUUCAGGUUUUGGUCAGUCCAGCAAAAAGAUUAGAAAAAGUAGUAGUACUUUUUUUGGCAUAUCUCCUCUUUCCCAAAGUAAAGCCUUUAUUUUGGAAAAAAGCUAAUAAUCUUGAUAUUCAGAAUCACUUCUGCUAGUUUCAACUUAGUGGGACAGAAAAUCAGCAAAGUAUAAUGGCAGCACUUGUAGCUUUUACUCAAGCAAAUUCUUACUGAAGUUGGAAAAAAGUUCUUUUUGAGUAAGGACUGAGUUGACUGAGCUAUGUAUUUUACUGUGCUGUCUCAGUACACAAUACAGAUACGGAAAAGAUGUAGGUCUUUUUUACACUGAAAUACGGACAAGCAGCAUUAUCUUGAGAAUUUAUCAUACGUAACCUACUACUUUGUGUUUUAAUAUGUACCAGCAUCUUCAUGCAAAAUGUUUUUAGAAUUCUACUGUUUACAUUUUCUCAGGCUUAUGCAUAACAUGUUAUAAUGACUGUUGGAAAUAAAGGAGCCUGACCGUGGACUCGUUCACCUCUGUAAUCCAGAUUUUUGUAAAAGUAUUGUGUAAGUGCCAUGAUGUUAGCAAAAAAACCCCUAAGCCAGAAAACCUACUUCCAUGGUAUUUCUGUAUCUAAUGAGGCUGUUGAUAUGAGUAGGAUGUUCCGUAACGUGAGGAGGAAAACAUAUAUCGAAAGAACAUUUUUGAACUUAUGUGGAAGGAGAGGGUGGAAUUGUCAGAGUGAGUAAAGACAUAUCGGUUCUUGUUUAUUCAGUGUUUUUGUUCAAAAACGUUACAAAUGUUUGUUUCACUCCUGUGUCUCCUGCCCAGAAUAAAGUUACUCUUGAAAUACUGA